rnacentral:rRNA from 1 species
AUUGAACGCUGGCGGCAGGCCUAACACAUGCAAGUCGAGCGAGCGGCGGACGGGUGAGUAAUGUCUGGGAAACUGCCUGAUGGAGGGGGAUAACUACUGGAAACGGUAGCUAAUACCGCAUACCAUCAGAUGUGCCCAGAUGGGAUUAGCUAGUAGGUGGGGUAACGGCUCACCUAGGCGACGAUCCCUAGCUGGUCUGAGAGGAUGACCAGCAACACGGGAACUGGGACACGGUCCAGACUCGUACGUGAGGCAGCAGUGGGGAAUAUUGCACAAUGGGCGCAAGCCUGAUGCAGGCAUUCCGCGUGUGCGAAGAAGGCCUUCGGGUUGUAAAGCACUUUCAGCGGGGAGGCGUUACCCGCAGAAGAAGCACCGGCUAACUCCGUGCCAGCAGCCGCGGUAAUAC